rnacentral:tRNA from 1 species
UGGGGUAUCGCCGCUGCGGGCAGCACCGGAUUCUGAUUCGGCAUUCUGAGGUUCGAAUCCUCGUACCCCAGCCA